UGCUACCAAACGACAGCUACCACUUCUAUCCAAUGACUUAAUACUUGACUCAGUCUUGUCUAGCAAUCCUGACUCGCGUUCAUCUAAAUUGAUCAAAAGCCCCAAUUAUUUGUUCAAACUGGCUACACCUCAUGUGAUGAGAAUGCGGGUAAUUUAAUAAUAUGUUUCUCAAGUUUUGCCUCUAACGUUUAAUACGAAACAGUCUAAUCGAACAAGACCCACGUCUACUAUCUCGAAAUCAAACAAGCUAAACCAGCCAAGAGGCUUUCGCAACAGUAUGGAUGUUUUGGCCUAGUUUGAUAUCAGGCCUGUUUAUCGGGCCUCAGGCCCGCUUCUCAAGCCCAACACUGUCAGUUACCUGGAAGCAGCCACCUCCCAUUUUCUGUCAAAUUUGCUGCCAACCUUUAAUUGGACAGAGAAGGAGGCGGCAAAUUUGACAGCAAAAGGAAAUACCAAAAGGAAAAUAUCGCUAAAUAACCUAUACAGCCAAACUUUCUACUCCUAAACUCCUGGAACUAGCUUCUAACCCUAGCAAAAAUCCAAGGUAUACCCACAAGAAGGCCUUGAAGCUAUCGUCGUCCGUCUAGGAGUCGCCAAGGGGAAAGAACACGUGAAUCCGAGACGCAAAAACCACCACAACCUGAAAGCAAAAGGAGAUCCCAUAUGAAAAGGUAAGGUACUCCAAAACUUGCAUCUAUUCGAAAAUUCAUGACACUAUUACGAUUAUUACCUUAUUUUUUGGUCCUUACUAUACUUUGUUAAUGCUACUUACCAAUAUACUUCAUAGCAUGCUAUUAAGCAAUGAAAGAAUCAAAGAAUAAAAUGACUAAAUUACACCAAGUGAAAUACCCACACCCCAAGUAGGCUGAAGCCUCUUCCAAAUGACCAACUGUUGCCUACCUUAACACCAUUAGCAUCAAAGACCCAAGUAUCAUACAAAUACUCGGAAUUUGGACUCAAUUUCACAAACAAAUUAUGAGUUAUUCUAACAACUUUAUGGCUGGAAUUUCACAAAAAAUCAGCUUAAAUUGUCAUGGUGUCAAAAUGAUUGGUUUUGCUUCAAUUUUGAGUGGGUCAAGUUUUCACCCAUCGAUGUGCAUAUUUAUUUAUGCCUAAGAAGAGGGAUAAUAAGCCCCUAUUUUAAUCGGGUCAUUUAGCUAGCAAACAUUUAAAUAAGAAUCUUGUACUUAGCUUUUUUGUCUUUUCAAAUCGGAUCAAGUCAUUCCCCCCAUUCCGACUCCCUCGAACAAGUCAAUCCACAAACUUCAUUCUAUACCUGAAGUAACAUCAAAAACAAAAUCACAUCCUAUCUUCGCAAACAGAGGGUUUAUUAAAGAUAAUAAAAAGAGGUCUUUUACCUAUUCGGCCGCUCCCGUGGACGUCCGGUUCACCGGCGACGAAUCCAGGACCGGUGGUCGACGAGAAAGAGAGGGACGGGCUGGAUGCUUACUUCGAUCGUCUUCUCGUCGUCGUCACCACCUCUACUAAUGGAUGGAGGAGGAAAUCGCGAGUGAUGGUUCUGUUCUUCUCUUAUGAAAGAUGAUGAUGAGAGAGUGGAGUUGAGAGGCGGGAGGAGGAUUUUAGGGUUGGAGAGUGGGGAUUUCGAUGUCUAUUAAGUAUUUGUACCUAGGAUAUUAAGGCUCCAGGCCAUAAUUUAUUAUUAAGUAAUGGGCUCUUGUUAAUUUAAGCAAAAUUCAGUGUUGGUCUUUGGGCUGCACUAAGGCCUACCGUGAUAAACAUAAUUCUGCCAAUUUAGAUCCUGAACAUAAUUCUGCCAAUUUAUGUCCCUUUAAGUCCAAGAUAAGCCUGCAUUAUGGGGUAAUUUUGUGUAAUUAAUGAAUUGUGUUCUCUGAUUGUUCUCGUUAAUGUAAGUUUAAAGUUUAUAAUACAAAGGACCAAAAAAUCCUUAAAUCACUAAUCGAGUCAAAAUUUUGAUAUUCAUUUUAAUCCCACUCGAGACCGUUCAAUAAUAAUAUAUUAACAUUUAAAACCUUUAAAUCAUCAAUGGUUAAAAUCUCAUUAGUAAAAUCACAAUUUUGGUUUAAAAUACUUGUGACGAAUCUACUUGAAUUUCGGGUUCGUUUCCUCUCACCCGAUGACCUACGUCUAAACUUGGCAAAAAUAUUUCGAGUUCGUUUCUUCCCACCCGAUGACCUACGUCUAACUCGGCAAACAAAUUUACUAAUAAAUAUAUAGCUAAAUUAUACCAUAUAUGUAAUAACCUAGUAAAAAUGUUAUGAUAAAUAUUACAAAUAUUUGGUAUUAAUUGAGCCCCCCAACAAUUAUUAAUCUCUAACUAUUACUUAGCCGGUGGUAACCAUUAUUAAUUCUCCUAACGCUAUAAGUAAUACUCCAAUUACGAAUCAGAGGUUCGUGAACGGAUCCCUUUCUUCCUCAAUAAUGUAUUCUCAAAUUAGUACCGCCGGCUUCGAAAUACAGAAAAGCAGGAACACUAAUAAAAACGCGGAAAAACUCUUUACUAACAAAAAUCAUAUCAUCGAAACUAUCAAUAAACGCUUUUCCAAACAUUGUAAAAAAUGAACAUGGUAACAUAGAUUUUUAUAAUCCCUCGAAAUCCUCAUCAACGUUAUCCGAACUACGCGGACUUUGAUCCUAAAAUAUUGGGUACGUAGGCAGCCGAGAAAGNNNNNNNNNNNNNNNNNNNNNNNNNNNNNNNNNNNNNNNNNNNNNNNNNNNNNNNNNNNNNNNNNNNNNNNNNNNNNNNNNNNNNNNNNNNNNNNNNNNNNNNNNNNNNNNNNNNNNNNNNNNNNNNNNNNNNNNNNNNNNNNNNNNNNNNNNNNNNNNNNNNNNNNNNNNNNNNNNNNNNNNNNNNNNNNNNNNNNNNNNNNNNNNCUUUAUGCUAUUAAAGUCAUGUGAAAUUCUCGAAAUAUAAAACUCAUAAAAAAUUUCAAAAUUACCAAANNNNNNNNNNNNNNNNNNNNNNNNNNNNNNNNNNNNNNNNNNNNNNNNNNNNNNNNNNNNNNNNNNNNNNNNNNNNNNNNNNNNNNNNNNNNNNNNNNNNNNNNNNNNNNNNNNNNNNNNNNNNNNNNNNNNNNNNNNNNNNNNNNNNNNNNNNNNNNNNNNNNNNNNNNNNNNNNNCCGACUUUAAAACAAUGUAUCAUUUUAUUUCAAUUUUAAAACAACUUUUUAUUUUCUUUCCAACUUUAAAACAAUUUAUCGUUUUAUUCCCAUUUUUAAAAUAACUUAUUAUUUUCUUUCCAACUCAAAAAAUAAUUUAUUAUCUUCUUUCCAAUUUCAAAACAAUUCACUGUUUUCUUUUCAAUUGCAAAACAAUUCACUAUUUUCUUUUCGACUUCAAAACAAAUUACUAUUUUUCCCAACUUUAAAUCAAUUUAUCAUUUUAUUUCCUACUUUAAAACAGUUUAUCAUUUUACUUCCAACCUUGAAGCAACUUAUCAUCCUUCUAAAUUAAAAAUAAUUUAUCGACUUCCCCUUUUGAACUGUUUUACAAAAAUAUGACCGUAUUGGCGGAUUUAGUCUUCGCAAGAGUGAAGACGAGUGAAUUACAUAAUAAAAAAUUAAACGCACUUAAUAAAAAAACAUCAAACUUAUCGAUUUUUGUAGUACCGGUUUACUGGGCGUUGUGGGGGUGCUAAUCCUUCCCCACACGUAACUGUCCCCCUUACUCAGAUCUCUAAACGCAGACCAUGCCCGGUUUAGGUUCUAAAGCUGGAACCGGGCUCCAAGUGUCCAAUCCACUUUUAAGCGAUUGCUGGUGACUCCGAACAAAAUCAUCAGGGUCAUCGGCGGGCGGACGGAAACGUUCACGACAGUGCAAUCCCUUCUCAAAAACCAAAAACCCAAACAAAAAUAAAAAAUAGGUGGAUCCAGUUUGAUUCCAACAACCGUUAGAUCAUUGAUAUUCAUCUUUGGCGGUUGAAUCAGGUUGUCAAUAGGUGCCGACAAAUCUAAAUUAUAGAUCCAAUCUAUUUUAUAAUCCCAACCCUAAACUGCCAAUGAAAAAUACAGUUAUACAAUAUAAGAAUGGAAUUGUUAACACCAUGACCUUCCCACUAAUAAACACCUUAACCUUCCCACUAAUAAACCGUGCAUACUUGCCACUUUAUAUUGUUUUUUAAAAAAUAUAGAUAACAUAGAAACAAGGCACUAGUUAUGCAUAAUUAUAUUGAUGUUAUGGUUAAUAACAUUCGAGUUAUUUUAGCAAAGUAGUUAAUAAGUGUUUUAUAAAAGGUAUAUUAGUUAUUUUACGGACUGUGCGAAGUAAACCACAAACUGUAUAUAGCAAUUUGCUUAAAAAUUUAUAGGUAGAUUAAUUCAAUAUUUAAAUAAAAACAAGGAAAAAAUAGUUAAUUUGUAUGAAUUUUACAACUUACAAUAAUCAGAUAAAUAGAAUUAACAAUUAAAUGAUCAUUUAGAUAAAAAUACCAAAUAACAUGUUUCAUAAAAAGGACAAAGUAGUCAAUUAGUAGCAUAAGUUGGCUCAGUGGUAAGUCCAUAUCCAAAUGGAUAAAGCGGAUCAUAAUGCGAGUCGCCAACGUUCAUGGGAAGUUGAUCGACUGACUUGAACCAUGUCCUGGCCAGCUUCCCAGUGAAACCAUAAUCCCCAAACAAGACAUCGGCAACACCUUGGCCGCCUUCACUACCAGGGAGCCAAGCAGCUACGAGGGCAUCAAUCUUGUCCACAUGGUGCUGGAUCACCACUGGCCGCCCGGUUACGAGGAUCACCACACACCUCACAGCUCCACACACAUUGUCGAUUGCGGCGAGGCCAUCAUCUGGAAUUGUCAAGUUGAAGCUGUCCCCGAAAUACUCCGCAUAGUUCUGCUCCCCAACUACCACGAUGCCGUAGGAGAAGUUGUUUGAUCUAGAGAAAUUCACAUCGGGGUUCUCCUUGUGCACAACUUCAGUACUUGGAUCGACUGUGUUGCUCACUCCUUCGAGGAUGGUCGUACCUGACGAGAAUUUCGGAAAGGAGGUCAUGAUCAUAUACGUACAUACUUCUUUAAUAUGUUAGUUAGUUGAAGAAUAAUAACCACGUACCAGAUGUUAUGUUGUUGCCAGAUUGACCUUGCCAGGUAAUUGUCCAUCCACCACAUUGUAAACCCAAGUUGUGUGCAUGAGACCCAGCCACCAGAAUCUUGGGAGCACCCUUCUUCUGAAGAGGAAGCAGUGGCUCCCCACCGGGUUUGCCAUUCUUCAACAGAACAAGAGACUUCCUCACAGCCUCUCUUGCCAACUCCCGGUGCUCCUUUUAAUUUUGCAAAUGAAGGUUACAGUUUGAAUCAGACUACACGUCACAGUUAUUAUCAUGUUACGUUGAUGACAAGCAGAGUACUUCAAUGAAAUCACAUCAUGUCACACACAAUUAAGAUGUGUAUAUAUGUUACCUACCUUCUUGCCUAGCUCCCUGGCCAUUGUUAGAUCUGCGAGUGGUGUCUCGAACAACCCCAUCGUGAACUUGACUCUAAGAAUUCUGGACACAGCAUCAUCUAUCCUCCACAUGGGGAUUAUGCGACUCUCUACUUUGUAUGUGAGCUCCUUGAUGAAUUCCCUAAACCCAUAGGGAACCAUCACCUGCAAAUAUAUUAAUAUCACUAGUAGCACGUCGUUUUGUGCGGGUGAAUUUGUAGGAAGAGAAUUCAAAUCGCUAAAGAAUACGAGGGUCAAGCUAUUUUAAAAAAUAGAAUGUUUGGAUGUGUCAUUUCAGAUUCUCUCAAAAUCCCCCCAAGUUAGUGAUUUCAAUAUAGACUCAAAAUCUCGAAGGGCCCACAUCAAAAAUUCAAUUCUUUAACAUUCUCUCCGAAUUAAUCGUAAUCCAAAUAAUAUAUUUGACAAAAUCUCUACCUUAGAGAUUUUAGGGUCCAAAUCAUCCAAAAUCUCCCAUUAUUUUCACCUACUCAAAUAAGGCCUAAGUGAUUUGAAAGGUGAUUUAAAAUCCACUUCAUAGACAUGGGAUUUGAAAAAUCGAAAUAAGAAAAUACCAAACUACCUUGUUAAGUUUAAGGGAAGGAGAUAAUGUUAGAGGUGUAUUAGUCAUUAGUCCAUUAUAAUUUUCUCUUUUGAUUUUCAAAAACGUCAGAAAACAAACAAAAUAUUUAUGAAAUCAUCAGUUAUUUUAAAUAAAUUUCGACCACAUCACGAAAUCAAACGGCAUCUACGUUACCAUGUCAAUCCCUGCUUUCAAUGCAGUCUGAAUGGAUUUGGAAUAGUUUGCAUGUUCAGGAGUAGUAAUCCUGUCAACCCCCAACCAAUCCGAGACCACAAAGCCCUGCAACACAUACACCAACAUCGCAACAAUCCGGUGGAGUUUGGAAUCAGCUGCAUGUUUCCGUUUUUAAAGAAAGAAUCCCUCGUCAAUCACUACAUUGACUAAUAAUCGCCGUCAGGUAAAUUCCGGGGCUGUCGGCCGCCAGCUCAAGUGAGAUCAGUGAUGCCAUCACAAGAGAUCGAAAUAAUUGUGCGUUUCGGAUUUCGAACAUAAAAUCUCUAAGAACAAAGUCAAGUGUUAUAACCAGUUUUGGUUGGAAUCAGUUGAAUGUACGUACCCUGAAUUUGAGUUUAUCCUUGAGGAAGGAAGUGACGAGUUUACGGUUGGCGUGCAUCUUCUUACCGUUCCAACUGGAGUAGGAUAUCAUCACGGUGGCAACUCCUUUGUAAAUAGCAUCCAGAUAUGGCAGCAUAUGGAUCUUCAUCAGUCCAUCCCAAGUGAUCACUGUAUUGUUCCUGUCAAUACCCUUCACUGUUCCACCAUCUCCCACGUAAUGUUUGGCGCAGGCUACCACCUUUGUCCUGCAUUUCAACUAGGAUGGUAUCAGUAAUUCACUAAACUAGCGAGGAAUCUUCAUCAUGUUCGAUCUUACUUGUCACGAGCAUUAAUGAAGGGAACACCGUGGUUGGAGUUGUGUGGAAUGUCGCCUUGCAACCCCGGGAUGAUCUCUGUCAUUUGCCUCACGAUGCUUGGGUCCUCGCUGUAGCUUUCGAAGCAACGACCCCACCUCGGGUCUCUACAAACCUAGGGAGCAGAAUAGUCAAACAGGUAAGAAUGUUGAGGACAUAAACCUGGUUUGGCAGGUGGAAUGUUGGCUCGAAUUUAAGAGGUUUUAAUUUUUGGAGAAAAAAUUGAUAGGUCUAAUUAAUUUUAACAAAAAAUAUUGUAAUUUUUAACAAUGACAGAGAUUUAAAAUCACCACAUAUAGAUUUAUGGUGUCUAAAAUUUAAUUUGAAAUCAUCAUAAGUUUAGUGAGAUUUGAAAGUCUUUAUGAUGAUUUGAUCACAAAAUAACUGACUGACCUAAAUUAAAACCGAUAAUAUUAUAAUGAUAGGGCAAACAAGUCUUUUUGUAAAUAAAUUAAUUUAACAUUUUUUCUAAAAUAUUAGAAUUACUCUUAAUUUUGAAAAACAAACAAGGGAUUUGUAAAAUCACUAAUUAUUUGAAAUCGCUAGUAAUUUCAAAUUACAUCCUUUCAAAUCUCAAAAUUUUAUAAAUGAUCCGUAUUAGCCCCAUACACUACUGAAAUACAUACAGCGAUGGUGGGGGAGAAGGCAUAACGGACCCCGGUGGCCCUAAUUUCAGCCGCAGUGGCAGCUCCAAUCCUUUUGACAAGGUCCAGGUCCCUGAUGACACCAAGCCAUAGUCAUAAAUAAGUUUGAUCCCAAGAGAGAGUACUAAAGCAAGUAUAUAUGAGGCAGGUUAGGUAUACCUAGUGACACCGAGGCCGAUGUUGUGAGGGAAGAUGGUGGCUUUGUAGGCAUAGUUGUGGCCGUGGACAGCAUCAAUCCCGUACAACAUUGGAAUGGCGAGGGGAGUGGAAAGGGCUGCAUUUUGGAUCUUAUUUAUGGUGUAAACCCACCUUCCCACCGUGAUGUUGUUGUGAGCUGGUUGUGGUUGUGUCGGCAAAAUGUCAGGGAGACUCGUAAACACGCUUACCACGCUUCCUGCAAGACUCGAAACACAAAUUUUCAAUCUCGAAUAUCAUAUAGUAUACGCGCAAGUAGGAGUCCGAAUCUAGAAAGCCCGCAUCCAUCUCAACUGUUCAAAAAUAGUGUCUCAGAUCUAAUAGUUGGAAAUAUGGGGGCAAAUUUGACAUGUGUAUACAAAGUAUUAUCCUAAGUACCGUACCAAGUAGUAUGGUACUUAGUACAAUACUUAGUAUUACACUUUGUACGAAAGGCCAUACCAAAUGUGUAUACACUUGUGUACAGGUUUGUUACGUUUCUGAAAAAAAUUCUGACGACGGGCGGGCCAUCUAAUUUUGUACGGAGGGUUGUACGGAUAAAAACACACUUAUGUAUAUGUUUAUACAAACCUGUACAUAUUUGUAUGAUCCGUAGAAAUCUUCGUACAAAGGUGAGCACGUGGCUGUAAAUAUUUUUGUCAAUAGAGGUUGGAAUUAUCGGAAAACUUUCCGGUGACCGGGGAGUGUCUCCGUUCACUGGACAGUGGUCCGGCAAUCAGAUCAAGUAGUUCAGCGAUCAAAGAUAGCCGGGUACAAGUCCAUAAAAAUAUUAAAUUCAAAUGACGAUAUUGUCCCUGAUUAAUUUUGACUCUUGGAUCAUUUGAAGAUCUAAAGGCCCAACUUGCUCCUUGAUCAGAUCCAGAAAGCGAAGGCUCUGGAUCCAGAAGGGGACUCCGCAAGUAGCUAAGCAAGCUGAAGAUGAGAUAUGUGUAGAUACCUAUAAAAUACUUCCUCAUUGCAUCUUCAGUUGCCACAGGGCGGUCGAUCUGCACCAUUUGACCGAUCUUCUCCGCAAGUGUCAUCCUCGCCAUAAGAUCACGAAUUCUGGCUUUGAUGGGUUGCUUGGGGUCUUUGUACUUGAGGUAGCCACCAUCUACGCUGCGAGUCGUCCUCGGAUUGCGGUCAGCAGCAGCGGUAGUAGUAGCACCAAAGAGGAUGAUGAUGAGAAGGGUAAACAUGGAGUAAAGAGAUGAGGAAGCCAUUGUGCUCUGUAAGGGUCUACUGGGUGCCUGUGUGUGCUCUUUAGAUUUUAUGCUACUUUUUUUUUAUGUCUUCCUUAAAUUUAGUAAUUCAGCCAAUAAAAUCAAUUUACUUUUAAAUGACGACUUUCUAGGCAAAAUUAAUUUUCACCGUUUCUCCGUUUUUGCAAUGCUGAUCGGUUUUUUUUGCGUUAAACUUUUUUAAUCAAUUGAAAUAAUAGUUAUGAAUCAAUAUUUAUUUCACAACAAAAUUAUUUUGACGGGUUCGAGACCGCGUGUGGUGUUGAAUUUAAAAUUCAGUACCAUUAAACCCCAUCAGAUUAUCAGUUUUUCUCUCUUUUUAAUCUAAAGGCUCACAUCUUUAAGGGGCAGUUUUGGUAUUUUAAAAAACUAUUUCUUUCUUACUCUUAUUAAAAAACUAACAUAACUCAUUUUGUUCAAGUCCGAUUUUUGUGUUCUUUAUAUAGAUUUACUCGUCCUUCAAAAACCAAUCUAACGAGAUCAAUAUUGAUUCUAUUUUGACGACUUUAAAAAAUAUUUUUUUCAUCUUAAUUCGAGCAUAACUUCUUCAUUCCAAGUCCGAUUUUCAUGCUCUUGAUAUGGCUAAUAACUACGUCUUACACUAGUUGUUAAUGCCUACCUCGAAGUUUCUACUAACUACAUUAAUCACGUUGCUAAAUAACUGCCUCUAAAUUUCUAAUAAUUACCUUUGAAUUCACUCAAUGACUACGUGCAACUGGAUAAUAACUAUGUUUCCCUCAUUUAUAUCUUCCUUACGUUUUCAUCGACCUUACAUACAUCUAAAUUUUUUAAUACCUAGAUCAAAGUUGCAAUACCUAAACCCGAGUAUCUAAUAACUAUGUUUUAACCCUUAUAUCUACAUGAUGUUUAAGUAGUUAAUAACUACAUCUAAAUAGAUAAUAACAACCUCUAAGUUGUUAAUAACUCCGUCUACAUCUAAACUGCUAAAUCCUACUUCUAAGUUAGUGAUAACUACGUCUGAAUUUCAUCAACAAUUACGCCUAACUCACUAAUAACUAUGUUUCUUCACUUAUAUCUACCUUAAGUUUUCAUCAACCAUACCAUANNNNNNNNNNNNNNNNNNNNNNNNNNNNNNNNNNNNNNNNNNNNNNNNNNNNNNNNNNNNNNNNNNNNNNNNNNNNNNNNNNNNNNNNNNNNNNNNNNNNNNNNNNNNNNNNNNNNNNNNNNNNNNNNNNNNNNNNNNNNNNNNNNNNNNNNNNNNNNNNNNNNNNNNNNNNNNNNNNNNNNNNNNNNNNNNNNNNNNNNNNNNNNNNNNNNNNNNNNNNNNNNNNNNNNNNNNNNNNNNNNNNNNNNNNNNNNNNNNNNNNNNNNNNNNNNNNNNNNNNNNNNNNNNNNNNNNNNNNNNNNNNNNNNNNNNNNNNNNNNNNNNNNNNNNNNNNNNNNNNNNNNNNNNNNNNNNNNNNNNNNNNNNNNNNNNNNNNNNNNNNNNNNNNNNNNNNNNNNNNNNNNNNNNNNNNNNNNNNNNNNNNNNNNNNNNNNNNNNNNNNNNNNNNNNNNNNNNNNNNNNNNNNNNNNNNNNNNNNNNNNNNNNAUUUUAGUUUUUAAAAAUCAAUUAAAACUAGCACAAUCAUGAUAGAGUUUCGACAAAAAAAUUUUGCGAUGUCGAACAUGUGAGUUAAGUGCCUCAAAACUAUACUUGGGUAGGUAUCAAUAACUCACAUGUAGGUUUUGCCGACUUAGACAUAGCUAUUAGUAACUUGGAGGUAAAUGAAGUUCUAAGCAACGUAGUAUUAACAACUUACAUGUAAGGUAGAUAUAAAUGAAAAAUGUAGUUAUUACCCAGUUAGAAAUUCAGACAUAGUUAUCACCAACUCAAAAGUAGGUUUUAACAACUUAGAUACAACUAUUACAAACUUAGAUGUAGAGGUAGUUAUUAACAACUUAGAGGUAGUUAUUAUCUAAUUAGAUGUAGUUAUUAGCAACUUAAACAUAUUCUAGAUAUAAGAGGGAAAAUAUAGUUAUUACUAUUAACAACUUUGACAUAGGUACUAGAAACUUAGAUGUACAUAUGGCCUGUGUUAAGGUUCAUAGAUAUAGGGGGCAUAUUUAUUAUCGAGUUAAAGGUAAUUAUAGAUAUAAGAGGGGAAACGUAGUUAUUAUCGAGUUAUAAACGUAGUUAUUAACGAAAUUCAGACGUAGUUAUUAGCAAUUUAGUGAUAGUUAUUUAACAUUUUAAUCUAGUUAUUAGUAACUUUGAGAUAGUUAUUAACAACUUGAAUAAGGUGUAGUUAUUAGCAACUUAUUGGUAGGUAUUAGCNNNNNNNNNNNNNNNNNNNNNNNNNNNNNNNNNNNNNNNNNNNNNNNNNAGAUUUAGGAUGAAGAAGUUAUGCUCAAAAUAAGAUGAAAAAAACUAGUUUUUAAAGUAGUUUAAAUAAAAUCAAUAUCGUAUUUCUAUAUAAAAACAUAAAAAUCAGAUUUAAAUUAAUAGAGUUAUGUUAGUUGUAAAACAAAAAGUAAAACAUAAAUAUUUUUAAGUACCUAAACUGACCUUAUUAAAUAUGGGCCUUCUGAUUGAAAAUUCCUGAAAAGCUAAAAAUUCUGAUAGUUGAUGGUCAGUUCAGCACGAUACUGAAAUUCAGCACGACAUUCGAUCUCGAUUUGAUUAAUCAUGGAUUCUCAAUUUUUGUGGUUUCUAAAUGUGCUUAUACUGUGGCUUGUGCUUCGUAUGUAAAAACUCUUAUCCUUACCCCCUUUAUAUACACAUAUACUAAGGAUUUGUUUGUUACAAAGAAAAUUAGAAAGAUUUUGUGAAAACUCAAAAUAACAAAGAAACACUUGUUUAUUUAGUUUUGAUUGAUCAAUGUUUUGCGAAAACAUUUUUUCUCUGAUCUCACAUUUCCUUUCAAAUAUGCAUUUUUCAAAUACAGAGUGUUGGAGAUAUUUUCUUGAAGGCCGAAAAAGACAAACUUGGAAUGUCACCAUCCUCAAUGAAGCCGUCGCCGGAGGUAUAUAGUUCAACAGAUACCAUCGUUUUCGAAGGAGAGGGAGGGGGCUAGGAUUUGCGACAGCAGAGGAUAGAGAAUGGAGAGAUGUUAGAGUUUUUAACACAUUUAAAUAUUAAUUUUCCAACCAUUAGAUGAGAUUUUUUUAUAAAUUAAAUUAUUUAGAUUAAAGAUGAAUUUCAUCAUUUUUAGGUAAUUUUUAAAUUAUGAGCCUAUAAAUAAAAGUUUUAUUUAUAAUUUUUUUUCUCUUAAUAGAAAGCUUUUUCUCUCUUUAUAUUCUCUUAUCUUUCUUUCAAUCAACGGCUGGGUUUGUCAGAUGGGUCUCAUUUACUCUUUAUUGAUUUCAGCACUAUUUCAGCUUUUAUUUAAUUUUUACAUGAAUUGUUUUUGGUUUUGAUUGAGUCGUGGAUUUGGUUUACAGUUUAAGAAUUAAGAUUUAGUGUACAGAAUUUUUAAUUGAAUUUGAAAUUUGAAAUUUAAAAUUCAAAUUUGCUUGUAGUUUAAGGUUUAUGGUCGAUCUACCUUCAUUGAAAGGAGACCCUUAUUAUAAUUUUCAUAUGUGAAACGAGAAACAUACAGAAUGUCUUACAGAAGAUGUAGUCGAUAAAAAAAAAUGAAACGAAAAAUAAAACUUUGAUAAAAACAAUCAGAGAACUAAAUUAGCACAUGUCUGAAACAUUAAUCAAACAAAAACAAUACGAAAGUGACGGGAAGACUGAAGACAAAAACCUAGCAAGCAUUAAUGCAAACCAUCCUUAUUGGAACCGUCAUAUCGUGGUCUUGUUUCUUCGGAGAUUUUAUGGGACGAUGGACUCCAACGUCCUCUAACUCCAUGGGGUCCGACGUAGAUGGGUCUGAUCGGCAACGUUUUUUGUCUCUGGUUUCGUCUUGAUUUUCUCCUUCAAACCAUGGGUCUCUAGUCCUCAACCCAGCCGAUUGAGAACCUUGGUACACUUAGAGAGCCUGUGAGAUAUUGCUAGCCACUGGUCUCGCUGGAGCAUCCAGACCAUCCGCUGCUCUUGGUGGAUCCUUCAGGAAGUGAUUGGUCUCUUCUCGGACUAGGUCCCAUUGGGGUGUUGUCUGAGCUUGUGCCUCCUUCCAUGAAAGCACCAUGAUCGAAUCGUCCCACUGGAAAGUAAGCUUUUCCUCCACGUAUAGAAAUCUAAGCUUGCAGCGGCUCUCGAUGUGUCCCAAAAUACCACAGAUAUAACAUAAACAAGGUAACCGGUCAUCUCUAUACUUGCAUAUUACCUCUUGCCCUCCAUGAAGCUCGACUACCCGCUCCUUGAACAAAGGGGUAUUGAUGUUCAAAGACACUCGGACUUGCAUAUUAGCGUUGGGGAAGGCAAUCCGGUUCUUCUCAUCGUAACUUAGAAACUUGCCCACUAGAUUCCUCAAUGCCUUACCCACCGGUUUAGGGUUCUCUAAUAAAACGGACUACAUAAAAUAAAAACGUAUAAUAAAAAAUAAAAACGGGUUGUAUAAAUUAAAAACAUAAUAGUGAACGUAGAGGGUUCGUCGACUGAACUACUAACGAACAACUACCGACAAACGUGGAAUAAGAAAUGGUUGGAGGGAGAGCUGCAGACAGGAAGUAGUGCCCUUGACUGAUGGCCUUAGGGCAGAUUCCUCUGUACUUAACAACAAAUUCUCUGAUUAUUCUGUCAAACGGAUUUUGAUAAUGAUCUGACUUCAUAGCAUGAGUUCCCUUUGCCCUGGUCAUGUACUGGAAAAAAAACAUCCUACAAAGCAGCAACUAUCAUCGUUAUGGAUUUUACGUUUCUGUAAAAAAAUUAUUUUCUUACUACUCAAAGAAACAGAGCUAGCCCUUUCCUCUUCAGCAUCGAAUGAGCUACUGAUCAGAAGAAUUAUGGAGAAUCUUCUGACACAGUACUGGACCGGAGAACGCCACCGUUUACGUCACAAGAACCGUCACUACCGGAUAUCAUAAGGAUUGUCAUCUUUGGUGACUAAAUUAAAAAAUUUGUCAUCUUCUUCGCCAAACUCCAAUUUAACGCUGUCGUUACGCAAUCGUCCAUCGUCUUCUACAUGACCGUCGACAUCAACCAUGACGUUGCGUCACGUCGUCGGCAUCGCCACCAUCGCCACCCAAGGUCUUUAAAUCUCCACACCACUUUUGCAACAAGUGCAGCUGCUUUGAAGGUUAGAGACGAACAAUGACCAACAAGAGAUCAAUUUUUGGAGAGCUUCAAAUUAAUUUUGCUCUUCAAUGGAUGAGGGGUAUGCCGGAGCAGAAAAGGGAUUAGCGGCGGUCGUCUUGUCCCUUUCUUUUUAAGGUUAGGUUAUGCAAAUUUUAAAUAUGACUAAAAUACCCCACCAUGGAUUUGACUUAAAUCUGGACUCACACGCACCCUAUUCUCCUUCCUAACCACGUUUGCCGUCGCCGAUCCCUCUUCCUCCUCUUGAACGCUGCUGCUGCUCUUGAUCUCUGGGAAGCUGCCGUCGAUCUCCUCCUCCGGAGCUCAUCCACGUCAUCCCCUCCCUUGAUUUGUUGGUAUCGAUCCUUGGAAGUAGCGCUCGAGCUAGUCUUAACGAUUUUUAAUAAGAACUUUAUCACCAACGUUUGCAAUUAAUUCAUUCAACAACGAUUCAUAAACACCUUCACUCCUACAAGUUGGGAGUACCAAUACCACUAAGUAUCCAUUAGUCGCUUCUUUUUAUAGGUUUGUUUGAGCGGCUUGGCAAGUAGGAACUUCCAAGCUGAAAGCGAAAACAUCGGUGUCCCUUUCCAUCCAAGAACCACACUUCUCCCAUCCAUAUUCACUGUACAGUGCUCUCCGCUCGAGAACCUGGCCAGUAGUUGGUUCACAGUCUCCAUUGUUAUGGGACUCAAGCCAGCCUCCAACAUCCAAAAUUGACUGAAAAAUUUCCUCCAUACAUCAAUGGUCACACUCCUCGUCAUUUCCUUUUCCUCCUUCUCCAGGAUACCGUUCAAAUGUUCACUGAGAAACAUCGACUCCAGAAUCAUCUUGUUCACGUCGUCGUUGUCGAAACAAGUAUCUACGCAAUCGAAGUAUGCAGCAUAGUGGAAGAGCCCUUCAACGAAACGGUUAGAGAAGUCCAAAGAGCUGAAGUUGGCUUCUGUUUCAAUUACCACCAUUACCGUUGGACGGAUGUACCUGCAUGGGGCAUAAUAAUAAGGAUCAUAUUGAAACAUCUACUCGCCAAUUUGUCUCACUAAUUUAUUUUAUCAAUAAAUGUUAGAACCAAAAGUUCCUGAAACAUGAAAAGAACUCGGUGCGAAACUCAAAUUUCAAAAUUAUUGUUUAUAUAAGUUCGAAUUCAAAUUAAUUGAUAAAUACAGCUGAAAUCAAAAAUAAGUUACGGUACUAAAAAAUACAAGAGAAAAAUAAGGCUUGACAAUACCUAGCCUCUACUCAACUUCCAAUUGUUACAAUAGAGAACAAAACAUGGAACCCCAAAUUAAAAACAUAAGUGAAAAGCAACUCCAUUACAAAAAUACCAUUUACAAAUAUUAUUUUAUGAAAAACGCGAAACAUCUAAUUUACUAGUAAGAAAGAUCAAUAACAUUUAUGCAUGACCUGAAUAAAUGAAUGAUAUUCAUGAAUAAAAGUAAAUACGCAUGAAUACUUGAUAAUCAACAUUAAAAUAUAGCAUUUACAUGUGAAUAAUGGUGUGACAAAUGAACAACAAAUUUCUCCCUUUUACUAAACAUAAGUCCUUAACUAAAGAAAAUAUUAAGUUAAUUAGUGUAGAUAAAAAAUAUAUUCAUUGUCUUUUUUAGUUAAACGAUUUUUUUUUCUAAAUUUGGUUUAUUUUAAUUAAAUGUAUGAUUAUUAGUUAUCAAAAUAUAUCGAUUAUAAGUUGGAAUUAAAUUAAAUUUAAUAGAUAGUUUAGUCUAAACAAAGAAGAAAGAGAGUAAAACUUCAAAUACCACUAAGCUAAAUUUUAAAAACGUCCAAAUUUUAUGUAUAAUUUAGUACGAGAGACUGUGAAAAAACUAGCCGAGAGAUGUGUACCUGAUUACAGUCAUCAAUGCGUUCAGUUGAUUUGGUUUCCCAAUGAGGUGUUGCAGUGCAUACUCAGAGAAGAUUGCUACCACAUCUUUGGGAUCAAGGUGGAGUCGCUUCUUAUCUAUUUGGACCAUGUUUGUUACCACUACUGUUCUAAAAGCUAAGGGUAUGUUUAUAGACUUGGCGAACGUCACUAGCCUUUCCCCAGUCUCAUGUAUUAGAUCUUCAGAAGAACCACUACUCACAAGUGCUGUGAUCUUCAGAAUCUCGAGAUCUCGUUUCCGUCUCGACGCUAAAGCUUGCAUCAGGGCCGUCCACUGCAUGCCGUUUCUGAUUUUGAGGUCGAUGAUAUGAACCCUCUUCGACUUCUCGACACUCUCCACUAUGGCCUGGACUCCGGCCAGCUGUCCCACUUGGUAGAACGGAAUUUUCGCGUAGAUGGAUGCCACUAUAGGAGACGGAGCUGUCAUGGCCUCUUCAACGUUCAGCUUCUCUAUUUCAUCCACGAGACUCGAUAUUUUCACCCCGGAUUCGUUGUAAACUCUCUCGCGAAGAGCGUGCGCAAAGUAGUAGACGACUCUCUCGGUGUGGUUCCCUGUCUUGGAGGACAGGGAAUCACAAACAUCGAGCAGGGCAAUUGCUUGCUCGUAGUCUUGACGGCCCGUUUCCUCAGCAGCAUUCAGAAGGUGGUGCACGAGUUCAAUCUGCUUCGUGAUUGCCUCCUCCUCUUCGUUCGAUGGAAUGAUACCGGAUUCGGAGGUAGAAGAAGGAUUAUUGAUGAACUUGACCGAUGCAGUUCGGAUGAUGUCCGGUAGUGACAUUUUUUGUGGGGUUGACCGAGUUGGUUCUCUUGCUUUUCGAAUCAGGGUUUCUUUGACACGGCUUCUCAGCAGCUCGACUGAAGCCAGAGAGAACAUGGCUUGCUGAUUCGUUUCUCCGAAUGUUUGACCGUCGCCGUGUGAUGUUUCCAGCGGUGGGUUCCCGGGAUGGAACAUUGUACGUGGUUGUGGAUAUUAUGAUGGAUUGAGAGGUUUGACCUCUCUAUUACUGAUGGGUUUGUUUAUUAUAGUCAAGGCUGUACUUUGGUUGGAUCGGCAAAUAAUGGGAGAAUUGGUUGAGAACAAACAAUUGAGAUUUUGGCCGAAAAGGGAUCUGGAGACCAAAUUUCUCCAAAAAAUAAACACCAAACAGCUUUUCCGAUGUGUUCAACGACGAUGUUGUGACGGGAAGGAAAGUAAGUUGACCAAGAUAAGAUCUAUGAAAUAUACUACUUUUAGUAAUUUUCUAUCAGAUUCGGUGUUUUGAAAACAGAUCUCUUCAUUCAUGAGCUCUUCAAUAAGUCAUAACACCAUCUCUAACCAUGAAUGUCAUGGUGUUAUAUCUGAAUUAUAUAUUUUUGGCACUUUGGCCUACGAACAGGCAUUGCGAUUUUGUACUUUCAUUAAGCAUGAUGAAGAAUUGUAAGAAUCAUUGAAUAUACCUAGUCUUAUGGAAUAAAAUGCUGGCGUCAUUUUACUCCAUGUUAUUUUUCCAGUUAAAAUUCGGCUAAAGUGGUAUGAUAAAAACACUAAAAUAAGAUUAGUGGUAUCCGGUGAACAAAAUAAAAAUUAAUAGUUAGUGUGGCGGGUUUUAAAUAGUUUAGUGGUUUUUGGUGUAUUUAAGUCGAACUUUUUUAGUUACCUUAUUAUUAAAGAGUUGUUUGGAUGGGCGAUUUGGGGGNNNNNNNNNNNNNNNNNNNNNNNNNNNNNNNNNNNNNNNNNNNNNNNNNNNNNNNNNNNNNNNNNNNNNNNNNNNNNNNNNNNNNNNNNNNNNNNNNNNNNNNNNNNNNNNNNNNNNNNNNNNNNNNNNNNNNNNNNNNNNNNNNNNNNNNNNNNNNNNNNNNNNNNNNNNNNNNNNNNNNNNNNNNNNNNNNNNNNNNNNNNNNNNNNNNNNNNNNNNNNNNNNNNNNNNNNNNNNNNNNNNNNNNNNNNNNNNNNNNNNNNNNNNNNNNNNNNNNNNNNNNNNNNNNNNNNNNNNNNNNNNNNNNNNNNNNNNNNNNNNNNNNNNNNNNNNNGUAGUUAUCAGGAACUUUGAGGUAGUUAUUAGCAACUUAGAUGUAGACGUAGUUAUUAGCAAUUUAGAUAUAGGUAUUAGCCACUUUGAGGUAGGUAGUAACAAUUUAAACGUAAGUUAGAUAUAAUGGUGAAAACAUAGUUAUUAGCUACUUAGACUUAGUUAUUGAGCAACUUGUCGUAGUUAUAACCAACUUAGAGGUAGUUAUUACCAAUUUAGAGAUAAAUAUUAGCAACUUUGAGGUAGACGUAGUUAUUAACAACUUUGAAGUAAUUAUUAAAAACUUACUCGUACUUAUUAACAACUUAAAUGCAAGAUAGAUCUAAAGAAGGAAAAGUAGUUAUUAGCAACUUAGACGUAGUUAUUAGCAACUUGGAGGUAUUGAGGGGUCUUUGUUCCUAAUAUAUACAUUUUAUGACGGAAUGAUGUAAGACCCCCUUUCAAAAUGAAGUGAUGACGAAAUCCCCUCAAAACGCAAGUGAUCCCCAUCCCCUUAAAAAUAUAUACGUUUUUUAAGUUCUCAAAUAAUUCCAAUAUUGAUAUCAUUAUAUUCGUCUAGUCUUUCCAUGUCAAGAGUAUGAAAAUCGAACAAUAAAUGAAAUCGAGAUAUGCUUGAAAGAAGGAACUUUAAAAAAAUUAUUGGAAUAAAAUCAAUAUUGGUCUUAUUAGAUUCUUCUUUGAAAGACGAUUCUUUCUAUAUAAAAAACAUAAAAAUCGAACUUAAAUUGAAGAAGUUAUGUUAGUCUAAAACAACAAAUGAAAAAAAAUAUUUUGAUAAUUCUCAAACAGCCCAUCAAAGUCUGGGCCGUUGGAUUAGAAAAGGCUGAUUAAAAGGAGAUCUGAUGGUUGUAAUUCCUUCAGCAGCCUGCUAAAGGCUUCAGCACCUGAAUCGCGUCACUUUUCAGAGAAUCUUUAAGUCUUCGAAAAUCUCUCACUUUGUUAAUUCGCUUUUCAUAAAACCAUUAUCGUAUUUACAACUAAUAAAAUCAUGUUAUGAAUAUUAUAAUUAUAUAUAUGAAUGCCCAUUUAUAAUUUCUAUCUUGUAACUCCUAUACAUUAAACAUGAGAAUGAAUAUCUUAUAUAAGUGUAGUUAUAUUAGUGAUAUAUAUGAAUUCUAUAGCUUAUAAAUAGUGAUAUAUCUCUUGUACCAUUUGGAGAACUCAAUAAGCUCUUCUCCUCGCGUAUUCUUGUUCUUUGUUUUUAUCAAUUUUCUAACAAAUAAGAAUUGUUUUAACAAAAUAGUUGAUAUAUCUUUUUAUUUAGGACAUAUAAAUACAUAUAGUAUAGCCAUUUUUAAUUUUUAAUUUUUAUUUAUUUUUCUCUCAAUAGUUACAUUUAAAAUCACUCAUCAAAAUACUCUAUUUCAAAAAUAACAAUAUUUAUUCAAAUCACUUUUAUUUCAAAUCUUUAUUUACUAUCUAAAAUCUAUUCUACUUCAAAUCACUUAUCGAAAAAUAAAAAAACAGUUUAAUCUUUACCGGCCGGGACCCAUCUAAUGCUAACCCUAGAAAUAAAUAGGCUAAUAAUAUGAUUAAAAAAAGAGGCUAAUAAUAAAUAAUACAUGUCACUCCAAACUACCAUAUAAUAAAAUUAGAAAAAUAGCUUGUUUUCUUGUCCAUGUUUGUGAUGUAGGAUGUCGAUGGAUCAGUACAUCAACACACUGAUUUUCUUUCUUGUAAGGUGGACCCGCCGUAAUUUUGUACCUCAUAUGAUCAUAUCGAAGGUAAUCGAUUGCCCCUGCGUAGACAAGUCGCCGGGCAAUUUGGUCAAGCGUGGCGGCUUGACUCUUCCACCACCACCAGUCAUUGCCAUGAGUGGCUCCGGUGAACAAGUCUUUUGAAGUUAGGAAUCGACAGUUCAAAUCUUAGACGCAAGCGGCAAGCAUAGGGAUCCAUAUCUUAUAGUCCACGGCCCUUCUCUACGUAGAAAAAAGAUAUAACAAUGGCAGCAGCUUACGAUAGGCUGGCUGAAUUGAAGGCAUUCGACGAAACCAAAGCCGGAGUCAAAGGCCUAGUCGACGCUGGAGUGACUGAGCUCCCUCGUAUCUUCAAGGCACCACCUCAUCUUCUUCUAGACAACAACAGCAACAUUAAGAAAUCGCCAACUAAUGUCUCUCCCCAAGAUCAGGACUUCAUUUUCCCAACCAUAGACCUGCAAGGUUUGGCGGCCCAAGACCACCCCGAGAAGCGAAAGCAGAUUGUUCAGAAAGUGAAAGAAGCAUCUUCCAACUGGGGAUUUUUCCAGGUGGUUAAUCACGGAAUUCCACUGAGCGUGUUGGAUGAGAUGAAGGCCGGGACUCGCAGGUUUCACGAGCAGGAUGUCGAGGUGAAGAAGCAAUUCUAUACUCGUGACGUUGUUAACACAAAGAUCAUUUACAACAGCAACUUCGACCUCUACACCGGAGCUUUUACCAACUGGAGGGACACUCUUCUCAUUCAUAUUGCUCCCGAUCCAGCUCCCUCCCCCGAUGAAUAUCCCGCUUGUUGCAGGUAUAUUAAUUACGAUACCAUCACUUUAGUUUGAAACCGCUAGGGCUACACUGUUAGGAGAAAGAAACCUUCAUAUAUAUUUUUUGUAUUGGCUUUCUCCUUAUUGUGGCAUUUGAAACUCCACUUCCUUUUUUACAAACAAUUUAUACUUUUCCAACAAUUAAUUACGACUCCCUUAGUGACACUCAUAGUAAUCAUAUCAUUUUUGAAAUCGUUGAUUCAAUCUGAGAUCGAAAAAGUAACAUGAAAUCAUAGUCUUAAAAUGGAAUCGUAUGAUUUCACAACUUUUGAUAAUAUCAAAUUUAAAGAAGAAAAUACUCUAAUUGUAGACUAUUGUUACUAUUUUUAUUUUCACUUAUUACUAAAAUAAUCAAAAUUUAUCAAUAAAAUAAAUUAAUUAAUAUUAACACCUAUAGCUCGUCUGGGUUGAUGANNNNNNNNNNNNNNNNNNNNNNNNNNNNNNNNNNNNNNNNNNNNNNNNNNNNNNNNNNNNNNNNNNNNNNNNNNNNNNNNNNNNNNNNNNNNNNNNNNNNNNNNNNNNNNNNNNNNNNNNNNNNNNNNNNNNNNNNNNNNNNNNNNNNNNNCCCAUCCAUAUCUCUUCUAUUUUAAAUCUCUAACUGUUUCAAAUCUCUAAAAUUUUUUAAUUCUAAGCCAAAUCGAGUGGGACAAAAUGACAAAUAUGGAUAAAUUCACUUAUAAACUAGAAUCGUAAAAUACAUGAAAAAAUCGUUAAUUUCACAAAAUUCUAAGAUUUAAAUUGAGAUUUUACCCGAUUCCACUAACCAUCAAUUAUGAGCAGAACCAGAAUUGUUAUACACCACUAACGUAAACCCAUAAGAUUGUAAGUCUAAAACGUCGAUUUCACUACUCUAGCGAUACUAUCACUUUAGGUGAAAUGUGACACCAAUUUGUAUCGGAUUUGUUUAACUUCUACUUCAUACAUUUUGGAUAUUUAAUUUCGAGUAUGCAGAGAAAUACUACUGGAAUAUUCAAAAGUAGUGGCAAAACUCGGAGACUUGCUUUUCCAACUAUUGUCGGAGGCUCUGGGGUUAGAUUCGGACCGUCUGAAAAAACUGCAAUGCACAAAGGGACUCAACGUGGCAUGCCAUUACUAUCCGGCAUGUCCACAGCCAGAACUGACGAUGGGAGCAUGCAAGCAUGCUGACAAUGAUUUCAUUACGGUGCUUCUUCAAGACCAUUGUGGAGGCCUCCAAGUUCUUCACAAGGACCAAUGGGUUGAUAUCCCUCCCAUUCCUGAUGCUUUAGUGGUCAACAUCGGAGAUUUACUCCAGCUGAUAUCCAACGACAAAUUUAUAAGUUCAGAGCAUAGAGUGAUAUCACAAAAUGUUGGGCCAAGAGUAUCUGUUGGAUGCUUCUUCAAUACUGGGUUUUCAGGGUAUCCAAUUAAUAUUGGACCCAUCGCGGAGCUGUUAUCGGAAAAUGAGCCUCCGAAAUAUAGGCAGACCACGGUGGCCGAGUUUAGUACUCACUUCUUCAGUAAAGGCCUUCAUGGCACUUCUGCGUUGCUUCAUUUCAAGCUCUGAAGUUCACAAGACAUGCUUAAAUAAGAAGUUAUAGAAAGAAAUGUACAAUCUUGGAUUGAAUGUUUUCGCUUUCAUAAAUGCAAGUUAUUUAUUUAUAUUGUAACUAAUUACUUAAUAUCAUAAUUAAUUAUAAUAUCAAAUGUUAUAAUUAAUUAUAAUAUUAUGACUAGUUAUCAAAACAAUAUAAUUAAUUAUAAUAUUUUUAAAAUAUAACUAGUUAACAACUUUUUACGAAAAAGUCUUUGAAAUUUGCUGCCAGUCAUCGAAUAUUUAUUGGCGGCGAUGAGUUGGCAAUAGCUUUUUGUAAAAAUAAUAAUUAAACUAAUGUGUGUAUCAGUAAGGAAGGGGCUUGAUGUGUGUAGGUAUUACAAAAAUAUGUUAUCAUCUGGGUAUUUGAUUUUAUCUGAUUCGAUCGAAGAGGGUAAUAUCACAUAAAACGGGGUAAGGGUAGGUAUGUGGAAUAUCUGCAAAAAGAAGGACAGAUCAAAGUUGGAUUUAGAUAUUCUCGCUUCAUAUCCAUACCCUACCAAAAUAUAUGAAAACACCUUUAAACUCAUAUACCUUGCUGAUCGGUCCAAAUCGCAUUAGGUCCAUACCAAUGAGUUGGUUCUCUAAUGGAAACGGGUUGAAUGAAUGUCUUUGGAUGGGCCUCCUUGAAGUCCACUGAAUAUAAGUAUGAGGGGGAUUAGAGCUAAAGUGAACAAUGUAUUUCUGUAAAUUUACCCGCUGGCCCCUCAGAGCCUCAUAGAACGUAAACAAGUUGGUGAGGGUCUGAAUAGACUCGGGCGAAGUGCAGAGAAAAAGAAUGGUGUCAUCUGCAAACAUGAAGUGGGAAAUCACGGAGGCUCAUUCACCCUUCUUCGGUAUGUAUGUGUGAAAUUUUUGUGACUAACUGGUGAUCCAAGAUUCUAAGAACCGUACUAUUGAUCGGUGAUUCAUAAUCCUAAGAAUGCUCAUCUAUUAUGAGUCCAUAUAUUAUGUACAAAACAUAAGGAAACAUGAUAAGAGUUUUGAAAGAAAGUACUGCUAUUACUACGUAAAUCGGAAUGCAGCAGAACAAAAACAGUGUUCAGGAUUCCACCACUGGUGUAUUCCAUGUGCUCUUUUGAAAGUAGUAAUCUGACUAGAAUUUACUGUCAAAUGCGCUGAAGGAACAAGAUGCAACGGCUCCGAGUAGCUUCCUGAAACCAGGCCAGCAACAGAGUUCGUCACCGCGAUUUAUUCAAUCUUCCCAGCACCUCUCUCUUCCAUCCUCCUCCUGUGUUCAAAGUAGCCUAUGUACCCAGCACAGAUAUGAUCGUUAGGAUUCAAGAACAUGUAAGGCAUCCAAGUGGACAACACCCCAAACUCGGUUUCUUUUCGUGUCUUUCGAUCCUGGCUUCCGGUCGCCACCAGUCCGGCCUUGAAAACGCCGCUCGUGAAGCGCAUACCUUGCUUCAGUUUCUUGUUCUUUAUUCUCUCGAUCGGAGCCGACAAGAAUGGCGGGUUGAAAAGGUAAGUCUCGAUGAGAGUGUCCCCUUUGGCCAUCUUCUUUCCUGCAAGUAGGGUUGUCAAAUUGGUUAAUUCGGUGUAACCAAACCAACUUAAUUAAAGUUGAAAAUUACACUAUCUAAAUUAGUAAAACCAAAUUCAAAAAUAGUCUAUUUAAACCAAAUUAAUCACACUAACCAAAUCGAACUUUAUAACUGAUCCGUUUUAAAAGCCCUACCUGCAAGCAAUGCAAUGGCUGACCCCAAAGAAUGGCCAGCUAUCCAGAGGUUAUCAGAGCCAGCUACGCUAAUCACGUCGUAGACUGCCUCCAUUGAGACUCGAAAACGAGAACUCUUGUGGAGUUUGUGGCGGAUGCAGAGAAGGUCGAGCUCAAUGUCCCUGGAGAUAGAGUCUGGCUUGUUCAACGUGCCUCGGAAAGCAAUCACAUAAGUUGGGGCGGUUUUGCCAGGAGUCUCAGCCUUUGUUUUUGGUUUAAUGGACUUGUAUUCAAAGAUGGCACCAAAGAUCGACUUGUCAUUGUUGUCUAAAAGAAGAUUGACCAGUUGGAAAUUGAAGAAAGUCCACCAAUGGAUGGCCUGAGCUUCUGGACCUUGUCUCUUCUUCUGGCGAUCCCUCUCUUUAACACACACUCCUUGAACUAAAGACGCUGCGAUUGAUCUUCUGUGAUCAGUAUUGCUCCUGCCAUAAUCGAAAGCAAGCAUUGAUUGAAGAGUCCGGAUGUGGAGUAAGAGAAAUGACUUCUAAAUUCGAUCCAGAAAGUUCACACAAAUCCCAACCGUUCAAAAAUUAUGUCUUGAAUAUAACAGCUAAAAACACGGUGUAAAAUUGACUUUUGACAACCAUACACAUAAUACAUAUUAUACUAGGUACCGUACUAAAUAUCAUACUAGUGACAGAGUCCUCCCAAUGCUUCCACGCACUGUCUAAUUUGUUCAUAUUACUGAGAGAGUUUGUUUGUUUUUUUUUAUAAUGGUGGAGGAAGUUUUUGUUUUGUUAAUGGUGGAGGAGGUUUGAAUUGAUGGAAGGUGUAUAGUGAAAAAUAUAAGAUAAGGUAAUAGAAAUUGAAUAGAUUACUAUCUCCGGUGACCGGAUCAUUGUUUUCGAUCAUUAAAAAGUUACCCGAUUAAUUUUCUGGUGACUCUAAUCUCCAUUAAUGAAAAAAAGUUAUACUUAACCUAUCAGAUCACGGUCUAAUGCAGUACAACUUUGAAAGGUGUUGCAAUCCCUACCGAGACUCUCAGAACAGAGGCUCCUCACCUGGAAAACAAACAAUGCUUGCAUAAUCUCCUAGAUCAUCACUUCCAUUGAGCCAUCAAUUGCCCUCACUCUACGUAACUUUCCUUUGGUUGCAACUAUCUGGAAACACCUGAAAUCCACCUAUUCACACCAUAGUGCAUCUCAUCUAUUUGAUGUUGAAUAUGAGCUAGCCAAUCUAUCCCAAGGUGAGCUCGACAUUAGCAGCUAUUAUUUGAAGACCUGUGAAUUCUGGACGGAGCUCGAUUUAUUUUCGAGUAAUAUGUUGUCGGCCAAAGCUAGCUUGGAAGUGCAGAAGGAACGAAAUUGUACUCGCAGUCUUCGGUUCCUUAUACGACUUCGAUCCGAAUACGAAUCUACCUGUUCUCAAUUGAUAGGAGAACAAGACUAACAUGGAUGAGAUUAUUGGAGAGCUCAUACGAAUCUACCCAAUCUCGUCUGGACAGUAAGGUACAACCCCGUAUUCUUCAGUGUCGUUUUGCAACGAAUCUGGACAUCGAGAUAAUCAUUGUUGCAAGCGCAACUUCUGUAACUAUUGUAAGAAGUCUGGACAGGUUGAUCUUGAGGGGGGAUGCUGAUACCGUGCUCUACCGGAUUUCUAGACGAUGCACCCAAUGUGUUGCCGGUGGGGCUAUCAUCGCAGAGAUCUUAUCCUUCUUGACGGUAUGUCCUCGUAUUCGGAUCAUGGUGGUGCCCCGUAAUGCCAACGGAGCUGCCCAUAAAGUCGCUCGUCAAACUUUUUUAUAUCUCCCGCCUUUUGUUAAGACCGAUCUCACGAUCUUAGCUGAUUUUUAAUGUUAUUUACAGUUUAUUUUGUUCCUCCUCUUGUGAAGUUACCUAUGAGAAAAAAAAAUUAACUCAUCUGAUCUCUUUAUUACCUGCAGGCCUUGACCAUCCAUUUCCAGAGUUACUGCAACAAGAUGACCAUUUCCCUGGCGGUAGAUCCAGGAGUGAUUCCUGACCCUCAUGUACUCCGCGAUGACAUUAAAGAUUCUCUCAAAGCUGCCAAGGAAGCCGUUGUAAAGAAAUUCGUACAGAAAGGACCCGACUCCGUGUAGAAAUAGAGAAAGAAAAAACAAUACAAUUAAUGACUGUAUGUAUACUUGCAGAUAUUCACCCAAGAACCAAUGGACAUGGAAUUGCCAACCUGCUCAGUGGUGAUAACUACAGAAGACUGAACAGAGAGAUGUACAUGGAAUUAUUGGCAACCUGCUCGUUACAAGUUGGUGGAUGAAAGCAUACUUUACUAAUUGACAGAGUUACAGUUAGGAACUGAAUAAAAUAUCCAUUCUUGUGGUUGCUUUGAUUUUCCUGAUACUGCAGCCUAAUGUAUUGUAACUAGUUAUAAAUAACAGAGUUACUCAUUUGAGGGAAGUUAUGCUCUUGUAAUGUAUUGUGACUAGUUAUAUUUUGCGACGAGUGGACUUAGCUUCAUGAUACUUUGACAGAGAAGUAUAAUUAUGCAGCAGCAGCAGCAGCAACAGUGAUUGUACACACAAAAAAGACUUUGCAGGUCAUUCCAAUCCAAUUGUUUCCGGUUCAUCCUAAUGGUACAGAGCUGCAAGAUUAAACAAAAUUUCGUAGGUUACAAAGUCUGUCUUUAAUUUCACUUCCUACACCUCCAUGCUGAGACGGAGAAAAGAGGCCUAUCUUGCCAUCCAAUAACUACACAUCCAUUCUCUUCCUUCAUCCUAUAACCAUCACAUCCAUAAGUCUGCAGCAAUCUCUUACCCUGCAACAUCCCAUAAUAGCUCAAACCAACAUUACCAAACCCGGCAAGUUCAAGCCUUUGAAUCCACUUCUCCAAUUUCUCGUGCCUUUCCUUCCUCUCGCUUCCCUCGCAAGAAACAAUGUUCUUUAUCUGCUCCCCAAACAGCAUCCUCUCCACCUUCAGCCUUUCCACCGAAGUUCUUGGCACGUUCGAUUCCAGACAGUCGAACAAAGCCGCAUACGAAUGGAGUGCCUCUAGUAGCCUCUCCAUCAACGUCACCCCAUUAUGGUUCGAGUCUUGCUCAGUCACCACCAUCACCUUAGGCGACAAACUCCACAGGAAAUUAAGAAAGCUAUCCAUGAACAGCCUUUGGAAAUGAGAGUUCGAGUUUGAUAGCUUCCUCGAGGAUUCAUUAUUAUCAUCAGAGCCAAGGAAAGGAUGCAACUGGAGAGCAGAGCUUAUCGCCAGUGCUUCCCCGGUUUUGACACGCAGUUUCUCAACAUCAAGAUUCUCCAAACUACUGCUCAGAAUGGGAUUGAACUGAAACGGAAUGUCAAGCCUUUCAGCUUCUUCGACUAGUUCGCGGCUCAUUCGAUCCAAAACCUCCUUCUGCUGAUGAAUCCCUGUAAUCCUCAAAUGUGGUGGACCGUCAGGUUGUCGAGUGCUCAAACUCUGGAGAAGCGCAAUCCACUGUGCAGAUUCGGAUGCGUGAAGAUCGAUUACAUGAACCAUUUUUUCACCUUCCAUGGCAUCCAUUAUGGCCUGGUUGGUGAGCAAGAAUGCAACUUUCAAGAAGGGGAACAAGUCAUAGAAAUAUUUCUUGACCAGGAAUUCCUCAGAAGGGAUGGCUAAUUUGGCAGCAUUGAGGGCGCUGUGAACGCCAGGCCAGGAUUUGAUGAUCCUGUCAGCAAGUGCCUGUGUGAAAUAGGCUGAUAUGCGCUGCAUAGUAUCUCCAUCUGGUGCGGAUAGUUGGGAGAUCUGGGCGAGGGCAAUUUCAGCAUUUGAAAGGCUGCCGGAUGCUACAUGGUUGGCACAAGUGAGCAAGAGAUGGAUCAAGUAGAGCCCUCUCUCUUCAGAUUUGAGCUCUCUCAACCAUGAUGGAUAGGGGGAAUUCAGAUUAGGGGAAAUUGGCAUCAUGGAGAAGAAUUGGAGAGGUGAUGACGUGGCAGAGGACGAUCCAUCAUCUUGAAACAUUUUGACGAGGUUUAGACGAUGAACAACAACAAGAAAUUGGAGAAUCUCAGUUCAAGAAGAUAACUUUCUAGUACAGUGACAGAGUAACUACUCAAUUAGAAAAGGGGUAUCUCGAAAAAAGGAAAGAAAUUGAAGCAAAUAGUGGAAAUCCUUCCUGGGUUAUUCCAAUUGCACAAAGAAACCCAACACAAGGAGCAAAAUUUCCAAUGGAGAAUGUAAACAGUAAAAGAUCCCUACUGCGUUUUGCAAAUGAUAAAAAACCCAGAAUGAAACAAGGACGAGAAAUUGGAGGAUCUCAGUUAAGAGGAUGAUGAAUUGGAGUUGGUUAAUCAAGAAGAUUGGUACAACAGACCGGUUUAGAGACAAAGCAAAUGAAAUGAUGAAAUUCAGAAGAGAGGCAGAGUAACUACUGAAUCAGUUAAGGGAUAGCUCAGAAACAAACAGGAUGAAUAUUCCAAGGAGUUUUCUCCAGAACCUAUGAUAAAAGAGGCGAUUUCAUUCAAGGAGUUGGCUGUUCACUUGGUUAUCUUGUUUGUGUAGUGUGGCUUCUGAAAUUCAAUUGGGUGGAUUUGGAAUAAAAAAGGUAGCAAGCAAGGUAAGCAGCACUCUGUCUCGCACCCAGCACAGCAGAGAGAUUUUUGUCAACAUUUGGUUGCUCGCUCUUUCAUGACCAAACCAAACCAACCCCCCUCGUUUUGUCCUUCUCAUCGACAAUGCUUCAAGGGGAGCUGUUAUUGUUCUUUUUGUCGUUUUACGAUUUGUUGUCGUUCUUCGCAUCAGUGGAAUAUGGAAUUUAUUAGAAGCCGAGCCCUUUCUCUUGGCUUUUUCCCUCUCCUGUUCGGCUAGCAUACGCACGGCUUCAAUAAAUCGUCCGCAGUGGCCGACACUCGGCAAUCACGGCCCGGAUUUGACAUCCGAAAACCAACGGUCCUGAUUUAAUAAGUGUCUUGUUUUUAUUUUUAAUCAUUCUUUUUUGUUAAAUCUGUUUUUAGUUUGGAUUUUGAAUUUUGGGUUUUGAAUUUUGAGUUUGGGUUUGAUUCAGCCAUGUUCAAUAUCGAUUUAAGUGGAUUAAUAAAGGGGUUAUUAGUUAUUUUGAAGGUUGUAAGGGCCUAAGGCAGGAAGAUCCCUUGUCUUCGGCUCUGUUUAUUAUAUCUAUGGAGCUGCUCCAUUGCUUAAUGGCUAAGGCACGUUGUAAAGGUGAUAUUUCAUUUCAUCCAAAGUAUAAAAAGCUUAGUAUUGCUCAGCGCUACUUUAUAGAUGACCUAUUUGUUUUCACGAACGGAACUGUUAAAGGGGUUGAGGACAUUUGUCGUGUGUUUAAGGAGUUCUACCAUUUCUCUAGUCUGAAUUUGAACCUUAAAAGAUUGAGAUUUUCUUCUCAGUUUUUGCUGAUGCAAAUGUAAGGCAAGCUAUUACUGAUGCUACGGGGUUUAACGAAAGACAUCUUUCUAUCUGAUACUCAUAUUAGGUAAGCUCUCUGUCAGAGAUUGUGAUGUCUUGAUGGAUAAAAUUACUGUCAAGGUUAAAAGCUGGAGGGUUAAGGUGUUGAGUUAUGCAGACAUGCUUUAGUUAGUUAAUUCAGUGUUGAAUUCCAUAAAACCAAUACUGGCUUUCUAUUUUCCUUCUUCCCAAAUAUGUACUAAGGCCUGUAGAAAAAAUGUGUAAUGUUUUUUUGUGAAAUGUGAAAAAGUGGUAGUAAAAAGGCAAAUGUGGUCUGAAAGUAUGUUAUUUUACUUUUGAAAGAAGGGGGUCUGGAAAUUAUUGGCAGUUUGGAAUCUUGAUUGUGUUCUAUGUUAUGUUUAGAGUAUUAUGAUAAAAGUUGGCUCCCUCUAAAUUGUUUGGGUAGGUGAGCACAAAUUCAAGAGGAGGUCCAUGUUGAAUUGUACUGUUGCCACUUGUCAUUCUUGAGUCUUGAAGAGAAUUUUGAAUGCAAGUGACAAAGGUAUUCGAUUUAUCUCUCUAAAUGAAGAAAAUCAACCUUUUUGACAAGGACAGUUGAUACCUAAAAUACUCGAUCUUUACGGUCUGGGAAAUUGUUAGGAAAAAAGGGAAAAACAUACCUUGGUAUGAUCUGAUUUGGGGGAAUUCGAUCAUUCGAAAACAUUGCUUUAUCAUUUGGCUUGCUUUACUGGGUCGUCUCACUACUCGAAUGCAAAUUGUUUCCUGGGGGAUGAUCACUGAUGUCUCCUAUUUGCGUUGUGAAGAGGGUAUUGAUGAUACUAAUCAUCUUUUUGUUGACUAUGAGUUUGUGAGUUAGAUUAGAAAUUUUUGUUUGGGAAAUGGUUUAGAUUAUCUUUUAGAUUGGCCGGAUGAAGUGAGAAAAUUUGCUCGGAUUCACUCGGGGAGCUCCUCUGAGUCUCAUCCUUUUAGACUCAUUUAGAGGAUAAUUUAUAAUAGUGUGUGGUAUGAAAGGUGCAAGAUAAAUGUUGGUGAAGUGCCUACCUCAAUGAUUAAUAUAGCCAGAAAUAUUUGUAGAGAUAGAAAGUUUGUAAAUAAUUAUUGCUGAUAGAUAGUAUGCUUAGUUCUAUAGUUGAUAUUACUAUGUAUUGAAUUCUUUGGGUGGAUUCUAUCGAUUUGAUGAAUAAAAUUAAAUAUUUAUCGAAUAAAAAAAUCUAAACUCAAACUAAAACUAAAAACAUCCAAAACCACAAAAUCCAAAACCAAAAUAAAAAAUCUAAUCCUAAACCCAAGCUAAAACCAAAAUUAAUAUAAGAAAUUCAAAACCAAAAACCCUAAACUCAAACCCUAAACCAAACUAAAAUAAAAAAAUUCAAAACCAAAAAUCCAACCCGAAACCCAAACCAAAAAUAAAAUCAAGAUAUGAAAUCCAAAGUCCUAAACAUAAACUUCAAAACCCAAAAUUCAAACUCUAAACUUAAAAUCCAAAACCCAAAACCCAAAUUCAAAAUAAAAAAUUCAAAUUCAGUUAAAACCUAAAUUUCUAUUUUAAUUCAUCUUCCAACCAUUGAUUUUUUUUGUACGUAACGGAAGCCGUUGGAUGAGGCUGUCCGGACUGUGGGACAUUUAAGCCGUCAGUAUGCUAGCCAUUUUGCCCUCCCUCUCUCUCGCUGUCUCUAAGACAACACAAGGGAAGAGGACAUUUCUCUUUUUUCUUCACAACACAACAUAAAAUCUCGUCUCUUUCUUUCUAGUUUGUUUCUCUCUGUAGGAAUGAAUGCACUGUAAAAAUUGGGGAAAAAAUGGUGGACUGUUGGGUUUUGUCGUGGCUUGGAGAGGAUGGAAUCAUGGUGGCCUAAUAAAUACAAAACCAAACAAGUAGCUUUUGGAUUUUUGAAACCUGGUGUGAAAACGAAAUUGUCAUGAAUUAGGCACUGUUCCUUGAGCCAAAGAAAAGUCCAAGCAUGUCCCAACUGAGACAAAACGUUGCUUCACCGUCGAGUUUUGUUUACUAGUGGGUUUCACUUUGGUAAUCGCAGGAAAGUUACUGUGAGUUUUACUGGGUUAAGAGUUCUUUUAUAACUGUUAGUGAUUUGAAAAUAUGUUUUCGCUAGGGUUAGGCGACGGAUCAAGCUGUUUGUAAGCAGCUUGAUGUUCGGUUUAAAAAGAGUUUGUUCGUAAUUCGAUUUUAUUUUAAAUGAGUCAAGUUUGAGUCAGGGUAUGUUCGACUCGAUAGGCUUGUGAGCUGGCUCGAGCUCGAGAAUCAACUCGAAUACUAACUAAAUAAUAUGGUUCAUUGUAAUAUAAGUAGAAACUUAGGAUAGCUCGUUUUUAGGGUAGACUUGUAGAUGAUUUUUAACGUAUAAGUUUCAAAUUUAACUCAAAUUAAAUUAUCGUCGUGGGUUUUGAUGAGCGAAGUUCGAGUUGAGCUACUGUUUGGCUCGUAAAUGAUAGUUAACAAACCAAACUCGAAUAGGCUCGAGUUCGACACAAGUUAAAAUUUUCUAAAUCGAGUUCAAGUUCGAGCUCUACAAAAAAAUGAACAAGCAAAGGUUGAGUAUGGUGCAUUUCUCAAAAAAAAAAGUAUGAUUAAGUUUAUCUCGAACUCGAUUCGUCAACUACCCUAAUUUUGGCUUAAUGAUGUUUGAGUAUUAAAAGGGACAAAAAUGAAUAUGAAACCAAAGGCUAUUAGGAGUAGGCGUGCAGAGCUGGGAAGUAGUAUUUGGAGUUUACUUGUUCAACAUAGUUGUCUCCUUGUUUGGAUAUGGCUCAUUGCCAUUGAACAAUACAAACAAGAAAGAAAACCAGAUCUCUUCUAUUCCUGGAGUCGGUCUUGUUUGAAUCCAAACAAAGGAAUCCAACAAAGACCACCUACCUACUCUUGAAGAGUUCCAAACUCUGAGACUGCUACCUGUAUGAGUUCCAAGUGGAGGUGGGUGGUGGGUGACUUUUCAUUUUUGCCCCUCGAGUUUGAGUCGUUAGAUCAAAAUGAUUAGAUCCAAUAACGAAUAGCUCAAGUUUAGUUUGAUCCUAUCAGACAAUUUCUUCAUUAAUAUCAAUCCGAACUCGAGGGAAGGAAGUCCAAAUGGAUUGGUUGAGGAGGAUGAUAUUAUGUCAAAGCUUCAGAUGGAUUUUCAGUUCAGCUUAUAUUCAUCCAUCUUCAAGUUAAAGCAGUAAACAACAGUAUGGUAAGACUAAAAAUCAAGCAACUUUUGAUAAGACUAACAUCAACAAAUAAACCCACAAGGAAACUAAGUUAUGUUCCCAUUACCACAACCAAGAUCAUCCAAAUACACCUCUGAAGUUCAACAUGUGACCUGCCAAUUAUAGGGAGAGUUUUCGUCAUAUGAUCCUUACUCCACAUCGCCUACAGGAAAUUCACACAUCAAUUCUCCUUGUUAGAAUGAUUUACAGCUAGAGGCUAAUGUAAAGGCAAUAGUGCUUUCUACUACUAUCUUAUUAGCUAAUCAGCUCUAUAAAGAAGCUUACGUUUGGCUUCAGUGCUCUCUGAGGUGAGCAAGAGCAACAGCGAUCUUAGCACCAACAAGAGCAUUAUUCUUCACCAGUGCAAUGUCUAUCCCUUGGCUAAGGAAGCAACAGUAGUAAGAAAAGAAGUUAACAGCACAUCUCGUGAUGCCUGAAGAAUGACGAUACAUUGAACUGAGUUUUAAAGAGAAAAGGAGAGAUAGUUGCAGCUUUCCAUUGUCAGCUGUAAAGCUUCAAAAAAGAUCAGACUGAGGCAUUUUUCAAAGGAUACUUGCAGACAAGGAGGCUCCUCCGGUUAGUUCGUUCACUCUUGCCAGCAAGAAAGGAGUUUCAGCACUUCCACUUAUAUUCUUCUCCCUGUAAUCCAAUUCAGAAGUGAACAUUAAGGCGUUUGUUUCCAUUUUGGCAUGAUUGACGAAAUUUAUGAGAACAGGAAUCAUUUUGCAACCUUGCUUCUUUAAGGGCUUUCUGGAUUGCAGAUUCAAUCAUACUUCCAGAUGCUGAUUGUUCCUUCGGGAUUGGAACUCCUAUUAGAAUCCCAUUUCCAAGCUUCAGCUUUGUGGUAGCAUCUGGAAUAGACAGAAAGAUAACAAAUUGCACAAGCAUUCUAACUAUCAUGUCAGGUAGAAUUGAAACAUGUAAGUUGGCAAUAGCUGAUUCCAUCACUUACCUAUCAGCUGAGCACACUCCUCUGGGGUGUCCAUUCGGCAAGGAGCCUAGUCCAGGAUCAACAGAAACAGGCUAAAUUAGUCCCGAACGAAAUUAGAUACUAAACAGUAAACAUUGCGUCUAAAGUGAUGCACCAUAAAAUGCCUCAGUGAGAUUGUGGCUAGUCAGUACCUUACAGCCACUGGUAUCUGUGAAAAAUGCAGGAAACUCAUUAGUCUUAUAACCAACGACACAAACUCCUUGUGUUUCCUGUACUGAUCCAAAGUGGAAAAAGUGACCUUAAGUCAUAAAAACCUGAAAUUACUUGGAAAUACUUCUGAGGAUAGCAAAUGAGUUUACCAAAUAUUCAAGGGUUUUGGGAAUAUCUAAUAUUGAUUUGACCCCUGCUGAGAUAACUGCUACUGGAGUUCUUCCAAGCUCAGUUAGAUCAGAAGAUACAUCCAUCGCUUUCAAGAAGAAACAAAAACAUCUUCAACGAAUUUACACUUACUUCAUAAGUAAACUAGGUGAGUGAUACUUGUAAGAAGGAACAAGCAAUUAAGUGAAGGAUAGAUGCAUUAAUGAAGGAUGUACAAGCUAAUCCCAAAGAAUUUACACUUACUUUGCUCUCCAUGCCUAUGUACACCUCCAAUGCCACCGGUUACAAACACAUGGAUACCAACCUGAGAAAGUUUAGCAAACUAGUCUGUGACAGGUUUCGUGGAUAACCAAACAAGCUGUUGGCAUCUAAGUAACGAUUACGUACCAUAGAAGCAAAAAACAUGGUUGCUGAAACAGUUGUGGCGCCAUUCCGUCUACUGGCAACCUACAAAGAAAGAUUAGAAAGUAGAUAACGGGCAAGCUAGUAGAACAAAAGGUAUCAUUGAUGUGAUGUUGCUUCUUUGAUCUUUCUCUUUUAAUUGAUGAUGUUGGCACCUAAUUUUCUGACUAAGUGUGAUGAAUGUUUACACAUCUCCAUUCUACCAAAAGGUCAACCCCCUUAAGUUAUUACUAAUGAAAGGUUUAGUGGGUGAAAAAAUCAGCAUGUACUUACAACAUAUGCAAUGUCCCUCCGAGCUGUUUUCUGAGCUCUGGGACCAAGAGUUGCGAGUCGCUCCAGUUGUGCUGCACUUAAACCUGAUCACCUAGAGAGCUUAGUGAAACUGAGCAAUACAUAGAUUUGGUUUGGCAACAAGAAUCAUGAUUCCUAGGAUAGUUGAGUUGAGAUUAAUGUAAGAAAGUUGAGUUAGAGUUGUGGAGACUGAUAUAAGGAUUCCAAGUGGAAUUGUGUUUCCCAAUCUACUCAAAGGAACAUUAAACUUUCCUGGGGAUACGUAAUAUCCCUUGAUUUAACAUUCCUUUCACAACCCCUCCCAACCUCACUCAAAUAUUUUUCGACUAGUCUUUAACUCAAUUUUUUUAGAAAUCAUGAAUCUUGUUGCCAAACUAAGCCAUACUGCAUUACAUUUGGUACUUGUGUAUCAAAAUACAUGAAAGGACUGUGUUUUCAGUUAUAUUUGUAAACAAAUUAUUAGUACUUAUGCAUAAAUGAACAAGUUUUAGCUAUAUUACCUACACAAGGAACGCCAUCUAGAAUAGCAACUGUAGCAGGCACAGCUCCAUUCUUUCUCACUAUGUCUUCCACUUCCUUGGCUGUCGCCAAAUUUUGAGGAUAUGGCAUCCCUACACAGACAGAGUACAACACAGUUAAAAAAGCAUUCGUCGAAUCCAAAGGAAAAUCAAACGGGCGCAAGAAACAAUUGAAUGAUGCAAGAGUACCAUGGGAAAUUAUGGUGGAUUCGAGGGCAACAACGGCAUCCCCACUAGACAAAGCCUGAGAAACUUCUGGAGAUAAUCUGAUCAGGCCUUCUAUCUGAAAGGGGAAAAGAAUGGGAAAAAACCCAUCAAAGGAGAGAUGAGAAAAGUAUCGAGAUUGCCGCAGUUGAAAACGGAGAAAGGAAGAUCAAAGUUUAAAGGGAGUGGUGCUUGCCUUAGAGUUGGGAUCCAAAGGAUGAAGGUGAUUGUGGAGAUUGGAUAGUCUAGACAGUGCUGAAGAAGCCAUUUGAUUCUACAGGGAAGUAACAGAGAGGAGUGAAGUAGCGGUACCGGCGCCGACAACGCUAAGUUAGUUUCUUCAACCUGAACCUGCGCACCGGCGCUUAAUAUCAAUUGUGUCACCAACGUAGUCAACAAGUCAACACCUUUAAAAUGUAAACUUGGUCAUCCAGAAAUUUCCCAUUCAAAAAUUCGAAUAACUGUCUUAUACUCUUAUGAUUAUAGUUGUCAAAUAAGUAUAUUAGACGAGUUAUUGGUUGAAUUAGUCGGGUUAUGAAUUAAUUGAAUUUGUAGAUUUAUUGGGUUUUGAUUUUUCGGAUUGUAGGCUUACCUUGAAUUGGUUACGUCCAAUCAGGUCACAAUCAAAUUAUAAAAAAUAAUAUAAUAAUCUGAAUUUAUAUCUUCUUAUUUGUUAAUUAACUUGCAAAAUAUGAAUGUGGAACUUAAAAAUUAAUUAAUACAUUAGAUGAAGCGAGUGGAUGGAGAAAAGCUCAGGUUUAUGCUAAUUUUUAAUGGAGAAAAGUAGCUAAUGAAAAAUUGGAGAAAACUGCAUUAAAUCCGCAAAUUUAAAUUGUCAAUAACAAAAGUUAGGGUUUAAACACAUUUUUAUUUGAUGAUCCAUCUCUAAGUAAUGGGCUAGUUCGAUUGCAGGUUUGUUGAAUUUUGGAUUCAUAGGGUUGUGACUUUAUUAGAUUAUAGGUUAAUCGGGUCAUGCAUUAAUUAAAUUACGGAAAGUACGUAUUAUGAUUUGUUGACUUUCGAGUCAAAUCGGAUCGCAACCCGACAAACAAAUAGAGAUCAUCCUAUGCGUUGGCUUCUCAGAGCACAACCAACACACCAAGUACCUCGACGUCCCGACGGAAUGGGAAAAGUCGAGGCGAGAGACCUUUUACUUCAUCCUCGAUCGCAUGAGUUGCCAGGCGCAAUCCUAGAAAUGUCUUGUCGCACGUAGGGAAGAAAACACUUAUUAAAGCGGUACUCCAAACCAUCCCCACCUUCAUCAUGAGAUUGUUUCUCUUCCCAACUCACCAAGAGAUCCAUCCACUGGGCCAAAGACGACAUCCUAUGUGCUCCCUGGAAUAUGGGAGGCCUAGGUUUCAAGGACUUCAGAGAUUUCAACAUCGCCCUCCUAGCCAAACAUGCUUGGCGUCUUCUCUGCAACCCCCAAUCCCUCUGGGCAAGGACUUUGAAGAGCACAUACUUCCUACGCUGCUUAUUCCUUGAAGCUAAAAAAGGAGCCCGACCUUCUUAGAUAUGGGCCAGCCUUUAUGAUGCACGAUGUUGCCUCAACCUUGGUGCUGUCAAAGUCAUGGGGAGUGGCGAAUCCAUCAAUAUCAGAUCUUCACGACACCACAUGAAGCUCUCCCAAUCCACCGACCCACUCGACAUGGCGGCCGACUGGAUUAAGGCAACCGAUCGCUCAUGAGACACUCGGACCAUUGGUAUGUAUCACUCCCUAGCAGGUGGAUGCCAAUCGUCGCAUUCCCAUUGCCCCCCCCCCCCCCCCAACCAACCCAACCCAUAAAAAACAAACAAAUUCACCAUACCGAUCACUAGAAAUGGAAAUUUACCACCAACAGAGCCUUCUCUGUCCGCUAAGCCCCCCACGCUCUCAGGGAAUCUGACGAUCUCUCCUCGACAACUACGACUCCCGACAAUGACAGGAAGGCAUGAAAAUGGCUAUGGAACCUGGUCCUACUACCAAACAUUAUCUUCUUCUUAUGGAGAUGUUGCAAUAACGGUCUCGCCACAAACCUUAACCUCUUUCGACUCCAAUGCGCUCCCUACCCCUUGUGCCAUGUCUGCUCCCUCAAACAAAGAGAAUGUCUUUCACUGGCUCUUUGAAUGCACAUAUGCCUCACUUGUUUGGUCUAACAGUUUUCCAUCCUUAUAAGGUCCCUUGGGACCUCUUGGAAGGAUGGAUUUUCUCCAGUGGCUUUCAGGGUUACCAUCAUCUAACGCCUCCAUAUCUAUCAUUCGGGUUGUUGCAACAUGUUGGAACAUCUAUAAAACUCGUAACGAUCUCAUCUUCAACCCGGCCCGGCCAAUUUUAACAACGACCUCCCUGAGGAUCACCUCUGACACCUCGCUUUGGAUGAGUCCAAACCUUCCCAAUAUUCACCAUUACCCACCCCCCCGAUACACCGCGGCGGGUUGCUUCUAAACGACUCUUAGAAGGCGGCCUAUAGUAUUGUCAUCUCCGAUACUAAAGGACAGGUAACUGACGGUCGAGGUGGGACCUUUUACUGCUCCUCCGCUAUCGUCUUUGAAGCUCGCUCCCUCCGGAAAGCCACCUCAUUUGCGCCUCCCCUCGCCUACCCGCACCCUCUCCGACUGCCUUGUCUUGGUUAAUGUGCUCCAAGGUCCCCAAACAUCAAUGACCUUGAGAAUGCUACGGCCUCCUAAAGAGCAUCUUCCUCCUUCAGUCUUCCCCCUCUACAUUCAAAUGAUUUUUUGUGUAGUUUUUGUUAUUAUAACUCGGCCUGCUUGACCUCAUAUGUAUUAUGUACACGCGGAGUCCUACAAUUCGGGGAAAAAAAUUGAUCACAAAUUAUUAUUUUUUUGCACAAUUAUUUCAGCGGGAAAUAUAACAACCACAACUGCAUUUAGUAUAAUUUUAUUUACCAAUUCUGGCUCAUAUUUUCGUAUUUCCCUUUGUUUUCUCCUUCUAUCGGGGACUCGGGGUCUAGACUCUACGCAACCGCUUCAGUCCUCACUAACUUCCGUCCAUGGCUACCAAAGUCUGCUUCACUCCAAUCCAUAAUUUCCCAGUUCCAAGACUUGAAAACUUGGCGCAAUUCCGACAAACAAUCCCUUUUCACCCACUGACUCUUUCUGCCAGACAAUUUUAUCUCAAAGUUGGAGGAGCACCAUCACCAGCACCAGCAGCAGUGAAAGUCCAUGCUCUGAAGGAAGACGUACUGGAGUCAUUAAACUCGGAAACUUCAUCCGAUUCCGCGACCACAUCUCCCUCUUCCUCUAAGCUUGUUCUCGUCGUUGG
rnacentral:lncRNA from 1 species